GUAGAUUUACACGCGUGGACGCUUAAGCUGAGUGUGUGAGCCACACCUGAAGCUGUCAACGCGGGUUUUGGGAAGGAUGAUCUUCCACAGGCUGUUGCUUCAACACAGCAGCAGCGUUGUGGAGGCCGACUUGUGGAGGGCAGAGCUAAUUGUCCUGUCCACCGAUUUUCCCACCUGAGGUGUGGAACUCUGCAUCUCCACCAAAGUUACCCUGGAGCUCUUUGCUGCUUCUUUGAUUAAUGUUUUCCUUACCUGGCCUGUCAGUAAGAAGAUGGCCAUGUCUUGCUUUCUCCCUGACCUGUCUUCCUUGGUCUUCAUGAUGCUGGUUGUUCACUAAUGUUCUCCAACAAACCUAUUGGGCCUUUACAGAACUGCUGCAUUUAUGCUGAGAUUAAAUAACAGACAGGCGCACUGCGUUUACCAAUUAGGUGAGAGUAUUAUCCAACAUUGAGUCCUUCUUCAACUUCUGUAGAAAUUAC